GAUGAGGAGGUCGGCGCGGCUGUGCUGCGGGCAGGCAGCGGAGAGGGCUCGCGGCGAGGGCUCCAGCUUACCCCGCCGCCGCGUCGCGUGCACGGAGCGCUUCAGAGGUUUGGAGGGGGCCGGAACCUCAAAAGCAACUGGAUGAGCACAACGCGGACGCCCCGGAGAAGCGGCGCAAGCGGGCCCAAAAUGGUUGCUGAUCAGACGAGUGGCAUCUCUCGCCCCCCUACCGCGGGAAUUGGGACCUCCAGACUGUGCCUGGGGGAUCGGCAAGUGGUUCCCCUCUGGUUUUUUCGGCGCUGCCUUCCCGGUGGUAUCCUCACUCUCUCUCUUUGAAAUGACCUCUGCUUUCCUAUCUCUAACUCUUCCCAGAUAUUUGAAAGCAAGUUUUUGUACAAAGCAACAUAUGAAUGUAUUCAGCCAUUCGAUCGUUCGGCGAACAUUUCUAGGUGUCUCGUGCUGUGCCAGAUAUUGUUCUGAGUGCGCUGAAGAUGCACCUGUUAGCAAGACAAAGUCCUGGCUCCCACGGAGCUUAUUCGAAGCAAUAGGGGCCCCCAAGCAGGUGCCUGAGAAGUAGGGAGGGGUGGACAGUGGGAAAACAACCUAACGGUGGAGACACACGAGGGGUCUUUUUUUACUUUUAGAAACGGGGGUGGGUGGUCACCCUAUGUUGCCUAGGCUGGUCUCGAACUCCUGGGCCCAAGCGAUCCUCCCGACUCAGCCUCCCAAAGUGCUGGUAUUACAGGACACCAUGCCCGGCAGAGGGGUCGUUUUUGUUGUUUUUUUAGUGUCGUCAGGAGACUCCCUCCAUCAGAAUUACUCAGGCUGAUUGUUUUGAGUCCUGGGACCCAGUUGGUAUCCAGAAUCUUGGCUUGUUUGCCUAGGAACCUGCAUUUUCACAUCCCCAUCUCCACACCCCUGGUGAUUCUUAUGCAUAUAAUAAUGUGAAAAGCAUUGCAUUGAAGAAUUGCUAAAGGGUGUCAGAAAACGGAUUAACAAAAUCAGGAAGCUUUAAUUUUCAAGAUUCUAUUAACCUCAAAAUUCAACAUAUCCAAAAAUUGAAUGUCUUUUUCUCCAGUGUUUUCUAGGAGAGUGCCAACACUAGCCACCCAAGUGCUCAAGCCAGAAACCUGGAAAUGAUCCAUUACUCUUUCCUCUGUCUCUGGAGUCCCCAUGUUAAAUUAGAUGUGUUUGUUUGUGAGACAGAUUCUCACUCUAUUACCUAGGCUGGAGGGCAGUGGUGCAAUCAUUGUUCACUGCAGCCUCGACCUCUCUGGGCUCAAGGAUCCUCCCACCUCAGCCUCCCCAGUAGCUGGGACUACAGGUCCCCACCACCACGCCCGGCUAAUUUUUGUAUUUUUAGUAGAGAUGAGGUUUCAUCUUGUUGGCCCGGGCUGGUCUCGAACUCCUAGGCUCAAGUGAUCUGCCUGCCUUAACCUCCCAAAGUGCUGGGAUUACAGCCGUGAGCCACUGCACCCAGCCCCAAUUAGAUUUUUAAAACUGUUGUUCCCUGUCAGUUCUUACUCUGGUUCAGGCUACUGUCAUCUCUCCUAGAGACACUGCGGUAGACUCCUCUUGGUCUCCCUGCCACCGAAAUUGCCCUCUCCAAAUCCACUACAGCUUGAAUGGUCUUUCAAGAAAGAAAAUCAUGUUUUUUCCCUGUUUAAGACUCUUAAAAAGAUCUGAUUAACACGUAGGAUAAAGUCUAAAAUUCUUUGAGGUGGCUACAGGGCCAUUGGUGAUCUCAUCCCUGUUGCCAUCUCUGACCUCAUCUGCCACAGAUAUUUCUCAGGCUACACUCAAAACUGGGAAGCUCUCAGGUCAUUUAAGCCUGGAAAUUGUGCCACCUCACAACUGUUGCAAGGGCUGUUCCCUUUGCCCAUAACUUCAUUUCUCUCUACACCAUCUAUGCACUUACUUGAAUCCUCACCUGAAUAAUUCUUACCAUUCUUUCAGAUCCCAACAUUAAUACCAUCGCCUCCAGGCAGCAUUUUUUCAUCUCCCAAGAUUGGGUGCAUUAGACCCUUUGUCAUCACACCCAGUACUCCCCACGUUUAUUGAGCGCUCACGAUGCGUCAGGCCCUAGUGGAAGCCUUUAUGCACAUUAUCUUCUUUCUCAUUUAAUUAUCAAGUAGAGCCCACAAGGUAGGUACUACCUUUUUUUUAACUUUUGAGACAGGGUCUCACUGUAUCUCCCAGACUGGAAUACAGUGGCGCAAACACAGCUCACUGCAGUCUCAUCCUGGGCUCAAGCAAUCCUCCCAUCUCAGCCUCCUGAGUAGCUGGGACCACAGGCAGAUGCCUGUUGCCCAGGCUGGUCUCCAACUCCUGGGCUCAAGCCGUUCUACCUUAGCCUCCUAAAGUGCAGGGAUUACAGGUGUGCAACUGUGCCCGGCCUGGGUAGUUACUAAUAUUAUCCCAUUUUACAGAUGAAGAAACAAGGACAUAUAGGGGUUACUUGCCCAAACCCAGACAAUAAGCUAGAUCUGAAAGUCAUCAGCCUGACCUCAGAGUUGUACUUUUAACCAUUAUCAGGGUCUCAGGCCAGUACCCACUGAUGAAACACAUAAGUAACUUAGUGGGUCAUUACCAACAUUUCAUUAAAGAAAUAGAAAAUGGCAGAGAACAUCAAACUUAGUAAGGCUCUUGUUUCGUGAAACUUGUCAGAUUCUCUAAUAUGAUAAAUACUAAAUCUUACAAACAUUGAAAAUACAAAAUUAAACAAAAUAUUACCAAGGUUAACACAAAAGUAUGAAUACUGCAGAUCUGAUUUAUUUUACUAUCCUCAUCUUUAAUGCAGAACCUUCUUAGGAUUAAAUGACAUUUACCAUUCUGAGCAAACUGAGGUUACUGCCCCAAACGGACUGGGCUUACCUUUGCAGGAGAACAGGGGAGGCUGUGUUUUGGCUGGAGAUUUUUGGCUAAGAGUCAAGACACAGAGAUUCUUCUGCUACCACUGUGAACACAUCAAGUCCCUUUCACAUAGAUGCUGUUUCCACAAGGGUCUCCCCACACCCUUCCCUACAGAUUAGAUUCCCGUGAUGCCUUAUUUAAUUCUUGUUGGAUCUGUUGAUUUGGUUAUGAAGUAGGUGAAAUUCUGGUAACCUCACCCAGGUUCCUUCCCCUCUUGAUUAGAUCCAGCCAGUCUGUUCGCUGGAUGAUUAAAUUUGGCAUUCAUUUUUCUGUGCUUUCCCUAUCUGCUACUAUCCUAAAGUCAUUCUAAUGACCAAAAAAGGUGCCUUGAGCCAGACUGUAGAGGGUUCUAAUGGCCUCCUUAGAAAUUGUGUUUUUUUGUUUUUUUUUUGAGAUGAGGUUUCGCUCUUGUUGCCCAGGUUGGAGUGCAAUGGUGCGAUCUUGGCUCACUGCAACCUCCGCCUCCCGGGUUCAAGCGAUUCUCCUGCCUCAGCCUCUCAAAUAGCUGGGACUACAGGCAUGCGCCACCACGCCCGGCUAAUUUUGUGUUUUUAGUAGAGACGGGGUUUCACCAUGUUGCCCAGGCUGGUCUCGAACCCCUGACCUCAGGUGACCCACCCACCUCGGCCUCCCAAAGUGCUGGGAUUACAGGCCUGAGCCACCAUGCCUGCCAAGGAACUGGUUCUUAGUAGGCAAUAGACAGUUGACAAUUUUGAGCUAAGCACUAAGGUCAUAGGAGUGUAGAUUCACCAGGGAGUGAGUUGGGCUUCUGGUCUCUAGAGGGCGCUCAAGGCUUCUCCCUCCCCACCCUCUUCCUUCCCCCAAGGUGGAGGUAGGAUGGUGAAGAAAUUUCAUCUCCCCACCACCAAACACACACAAAGGAAGAAAAUCUUACUAAAAUUGGAGAAUAUGGAAUAACAUUUUCUUGGGAUGGAGCCCUUAAAAGAUAACACGUUCAACAGAAAGUGCUGCGUCUUUCCCGUUCUUCAACAUACUCUGAGUGGUAACAAGGGCUGCCCUUGCCUUUCUCAGAGGCAGCCCAGCCAGCUUGUUCUCUUUCCCUCUCCCACAAGGUAGCCAGGCCCUAAGGCUAUGGCCCACAGAAAAAGUCUUAGCAAGGCCCCGGGCUUGGGGCAAAGAGGCUGUGGAUUUGUCUUUCUCUCUACUUUUUCUGGUUAGUGUGCCUCUAUCCCACUCGGAAGAAAAGUUCCAAGACUCAAAUUUGGGCAUUGAUGUGGGGAGGAUAGACAGAGAUGACCAGAAUCCAGCCUAUCUUUCCUGACUUCUGCAUUGUGGUUCAUACCCAGCUAAUAAUAAAGUGUUCCUUUCCCUGGUGUGUCAUUGCACAUGUACUCCCCACACUCCUGAUGAGUAGAGAUGGCUGGCCAAGACAGGAUUCAGACAUUCCCACAUCCCCAACCAAACAUCCUCUCCAUACCAUCUUAUUAAUCAGUCUUUGAACAAUUUCCUAAACUCCCUAACAGGUUGGAGAUGGCUGGAAGAAAUGAAAAGAAGAACGCCAACAAAGGCGAUAAAGAAAAAUUCAACACUGCUUGAUAACUGAUGAGAUAGUGAAGGAGUAGGAGGGCAAAAGUCAGAAGUAAUUCCAGGUGUUCAAGAACUAAAUGCUGAAGAGAUGUUAGUGUCGUUGACGGUCUUCUAAUGGGAAGUGAAUUUCAAUAGAAAGAGGAUGUGUUUGGUUUCAGACAGACCGAGUGACUGGUGACAACAGGAAAGCCACGUGUUUGGAGCAGAUUACUCGGUACAGUCAGCAGCUGGAAUGGAAGUGAAGAAGGCCCAGCAGAGCAUCAGACCUGAGUGCAAACUAUGGUGGUGUUGGUGGAAUAGAGGGAAGGGAGAGAUUUGAGAGACAUUGGGAAGAAAGGUUUUGGUUUUUGAGACAGAGUCUUGCCCUGUCAUCCAGGCUGGAGUGCAGUGGCAUAAUCUUGGCUUACAGCAAACUCCACCUCCCGGGUUCAAGCAAUUAUCAUGCCUCAGCCCCCUAAGUAGCUGGAAUUACAGGCAAGUGCCACCACAUUCAGCUAAUUUUUGUAUUUUUAGUAGAGACAGGGUUUCACCAUCUUAGCCAGGCUGGUCUCAAACUCCUGACCUCAGGUGAUCCACCUGCCUCGGCCUCCCAAAGUGCCGGGAUUACAGGUGUGAGUCACCAUGCCCAGCCACCAGAAGUUUAAUCAAGGCUCAGAGACUGAUUCCAGUUUGAGUUUUCUAAUAACUGUCUAAUACUUAGCUAAUAGCUUUGGACAGUUGCUCUUUUUAAAAUGAGAUCAUUCAAUCAUUGCAUUCAUCUUUGGGUAUGACUCACUAGUCAACAGAGUCCCCCUUCUGUAGAAACUGCCUCAUUCACAGAGAUGACCUCCACCAGUCAUGCCUAUAUUUGAGACCCUGUCUCUCUUUAUCCCCCAUUGCUGCGUGAUUCAAGGGUGGUCACCUGACCCAGGCAGUGCCAAGUUUAUUCUCUGUCUUGGGAAUUUAGAAUGUUUGUUUGGCUAAGAGACACAGAAACUGGAAGCUGGAGCUGAUGAUGGAGCUGAUCACGCUAAUGAUGGAGCUAUAGAGAUAAGAUGCAUGAACACCACCGAGGUCCCCAAGAUUGCCAUAUUCCUGCAGUGCCUUCUGGCCACAGAUAGUUGGUCCAGAAGCAGGUUCCUGACUCAACCUGGGCCAAUUAGAGCCUUUCACGGAGAUUUUGAAAUCAAAGUUGAGAUCUCUCUUUCUCUCUAUGCCCUUUGGUGUAUGUGUACUUGAGCUACAAGUUACCCAACUUUGGAAGCUGUAGACAGAGGCAAUUUUCCACUAAAUGAAGUGAGAAACAGAAAGUCCAUCAUUAGUGAGAGAGGAGCAAGGCAGAUGCACACAGAGAAGCAGAUAGAGGGGAAGCGGGCGGGAGUGGGGCGGGAGUUCCUGGAGUCCCCACAGUGCUCUAGUUUCUGAUUCUCUUCCUAAGACCCACAGGAUUCCUGCCUUUGGGUUUCUUAAGUUCCUGAAUAGCUCCUGAUUGCCUUUGUCUUUUUUACGAAAGUCCUUUGAGCAUGGUUUCAGGUGAGCAGACAGUCCUAACCUAAAGAGCUGUAACAAAUACACGUGGGCUGUGUGUGAGAUUCGGGGAGAGGCACCAGGGAUCCAGUGUGGGUCAGGCGUGGUGCCGCCCUCAAGGAACUUAGUGGGGAGAAAAUGAAGUCUGUACUUCAAUAACUACAGUGCAGGCUAGGAAGAGAACACCCUUAGAGAUGUGCAAAUCAAGCUCUUUGGGAGUUUAGAGGAGGCCUAGGACUGCUAAGGAAAGGCUGGGACUAGGAAGAGGUAAGCAAGUCACUGAGGAGGCAAAAUUUAAGAAGCCACCCACUCUCAGGGUGUGUGAAUGCAGCGUUGGCACUUGCAUGACCCUGAGAAUGAGCAACCCCUUAAAUGUAUCUUAGGCACCUUGCCAGACUCACUUUUAGCUUGCUGGACUAAUUGUGGGGAUCAGUAGGCCUUCAGAGGAAAGUUAGUGUCUGAGCUGAACUGAAGGAUGGGGUGGUUUUGGACUUGGUGGCAAUGUCAUCUACCUCAAGGUAAAGUAACAAUAUGGAAAACGCUCCCGUGAAAAUUCACAAGGUCUGUUCUAGGAUCAUCAGGCUCUUCGGUGUGACUUAAGAGUUCAGAGCAUGAAGGAGGAGGGGGCAGUAAGAAAAAUGGAGAGAACGUAGCAUCAGAUUCUGCAGGCAAGGAGAAAAUUGCUAAGCUGGGAAAUAACAUAAUCAGAGCGGUACUUAAGAUGAAUCUAACGGAAUAGCAUGAAAUAAAGGAAAGGCUAAGGAGAGGACAAACAGGAGGCUAUUGUGGCAAUCCAGGCGUGAAAGUCUAAACUAAUCAGCACUGGGAAUAGAGAUGCCAUAGGAAAAAUAAUACAUCAUUAAUAUAACUUGGCAAUUGAGUAGAUGUUGGAGACAAGAGAGAAAUCAGAAACACUGCUAAACACUAUGCAGCUAUAACAAAGAAUGAGAGAGCAUUCAGUAAGAUCACAUCCAAGAUAUGUACAUGAAAAACACAAGGGAUAGAACUGUGUAUAUGGCAAGCUAUCACUUGCAUUUUUUAUUUUUUAAAUGGUAUUUAUUUAUUUCUUGUUUUUUCCUUUUUUUAAGACUAAAAAAUCAAUUAUAAAAUCCUCAA
rnacentral:lncRNA from 1 species